GUUAAGGUGGCAGAGCCCGGUUAAUGCAAAAGACCUAAAUCCUUUACCACAGAGGUUCAAAUCCUCUCCUUAACU
rnacentral:tRNA from 2 species